rnacentral:tRNA from 1 species
GCGUCCUUAGCUCAACUGGAUAGAGUCUCUGACUUCGGAUCAGAUUGUUGGGGGUUCGAGUCCCUCAGGGCGUACCA